rnacentral:rRNA from 1 species
CUUAGCGGCGGACGGGUGAGUAACGCGUGGGUAACCUGCCUUACACUGGGGGAUAACAGUUAGAAAUGACUGCUAAUACCGCAUAAGCACACAGGGCCGCAUGGUCUGGUGUGAAAAACUCCGGUGGUGUAAGAUGGACCCGCGUCUGAUUAGGUAGUUGGUGGGGUAACGGCCCACCAAGCCGACGAUCAGUAGCCGACCUGAGAGGGUGACCGGCCACAUUGGGACUGAGACACGGCCCAA